AUUGAACGCUGGCGGCAGGCCUAACACAUGCAAGUCGAACGAGUGGCGGACGGGUGAGUAAUGUCUGGGAAACUGCCUGAUGGAGGGGGAUAACUACUGGAAACGGUAGCUAAUACCGCCUACCAUCGGAUGUGCCCAGAUGGGAUUAGCGAGUAGGUGGGGUAAAGGCUCCCCUAGGCGACGAUCGCUAGCUGGUCGGAGAGGCUGACCGUCCACACUGGAACUGAGACACGGUCCGACCUCCUACGGGAGGAAGCAGUGGGGAUUAUUGCAAAAUGGGCGCAAGCCUGAUGCAGCACUGCCGGGUGUAUGAAGAAGGCCUUCGGGUUUUAAAGUACUUUCAGCGGGGAGGCGUUACCCGCAGAAGAAGCACCGGCUAACUCCGUGCCAGCCGCCGCGGUAAUUC
rnacentral:rRNA from 1 species